rnacentral:rRNA from 1 species
GACGAACGCUGGCGGCGUGCCUAAUACAUGCAAGUUGAGCGCUGAAGGUUGGUACUUGUACCAACUGGAUGAGCAGCGAACGGGUGAGUAACGCGUGGGGAAUCUGCCUUUGAGCGGGGGACAACAUUUGGAAACGAAUGCUAAUACCGCAUAAAAACUUUAAACACAAGUUUUAAGUUUGAAAGAUGCAAUUGCAUCACUCAAAGAUGAUCCCGCGUUGUAUUAGCUAGUUGGUGAGGUAAAGGCUCACCAAGGCGAUGAUACAUAGCCGACCUGAGAGGGUGAGCGGCCACAUUGGGACUGAGACACGGCCCAAACUACUACGGGAGGCAGCAGUAGGGAAUCUUCGGCAAUGGACGAAAGUCUGACCGAGCAACGCCGCGUGAGUGAAGAAGGUUUUCGGAUCGUAAAACUCUGUUGGUAGAGAAGAACGUUGGUGAGAGUGGAAAGCUCAUCAAGUGACGGUAACUACCCAGAAAGGGACGGCUAACUACGUG